GUGCACAGGCUCGGGCUUAUGUCUGAGGUGGAAUUUUUGGCUGAAGCUCUAAUGAUAGUAUGCAAAACAGUAAAAGGAGAAGAAUGAUGGUUUUCGUGAAUGUAUGAAGCAUUCAAUGCUUGAAAGAUGGCAGGCCCUGACACUACUGCUAACCAACAAUAGGAAGAGUAAAACAUGUUCAAUUUCCCUGAAUGUCUAAUUAUGAAGUAAACCUGCACAUAAUUUUUUGGUUUGAUGAUUUCUAGUAGUACGCAUAAGAGGGGGGAAUUUUCAGCGUGAAGCAGUGAAAAAUUUUUACCUAUCACAUAAAAGAAUUGUUUCUGGUAAAGUGAAUAUGUAUUUCCCUUAUUGCAAUUUUGUUAGUGUAAUGAUUAGUCGAGCUUGUCUUUCCAUUUUGUUUGAGGAGCUGGUGAGAUAAAACAUGGCAAACUGGGAUGACUGAGUUUUUUCGUUUUUAAAUAAGCUUGUGGUUUGUGA
rnacentral:misc_RNA from 1 species